rnacentral:rRNA from 1 species
CAGGAUGAACGCUGGCGGCGUGCCUAACACAUGCAAGUCGAACGGACUUAUUCUUGGAGGUUUCGGCCAAAGAGGUAUAAAGUUAGUGGCGGACUGGUGAGUAACGCGUGGAGAACCUGCCUCAUGCUGGGGGAUAACAGUGAGAAAUCACUGCUAAUACCGCAUAAGCGCACGAAGGCGCAUGCCUUUGUGUGAAAAAACUCCGGUGGCAUGAGAUGGCUCCGCGUUGGAUUAGCCAGUUGGCGGGGUAACGGCCCACCAAAGCAUCGAUCCAUAGCCGGCCUGAGAGGGUGAACGGCCACAUUGGGACUGAGACACGGCCCAGACUCCUACGGGAGGCAGCAGUGGGGAAUAUUGCACAAUGGGGGAAACCCUGAAUGCAGCGACGCCGCGUGAAGGAAGAAGUAUCUCGGUAUGUAAACUUCUAUCGACAGGGAAGAUAAUGACGGUACCUGAAUAAGAAGCCCCGGCUAACUACGUGCCAGCCGCGGC